rnacentral:rRNA from 1 species
CCCUUAGAUGUUCUGGGCCGCACGCGCGCUACACUGACAGAGCCAACGAGUUUUUCUCCUUGACCGAAAGGUCUGGGUAAUCUUGUUAAACUCUGUCGUGCUGGGGAUAGAGCAUUGCAAUUAUUGCUCUUCAACGAGGAAUGCCUAGUAAGCGCAAGUCAUCAGCUUGCGUUGAUUACGUCCCUGCCUUUUGUACACACCGCCCGUCGCUACUACCGAUUGAAUGGCUAAGUGAGGCUUUCGGACUGCCUUAGGGAGGGUGGCAACACCCACCCAGAGGCGGAAAGUUAUCCAAACUUGGUCAUUUAGAGGAAGUAAAAGUCGUAACA